rnacentral:rRNA from 1 species
UACGUAGGGUGCGAGCGUUGUCCGGAAUCACUGGGCGUAAAGGGCGCGUAGGCGGCGCGGGCAGUCAACGGUGAAAGCUCGGGGCUCAACCCCCGAGUCGGCCGUCGAUACUCCCGUGCUUGAGCACUGUAGAGGCAGGUGGAAUUCCUGGUGUAGCGGUGGAAUGCGCAGAUAUCAGGAGGAACACCGGUGGCGAAGGCGGUUCUCUGGGCAUUACCUGACGCUGAGGAGCGAAAGUGUGGGGAGCGAACAGG